rnacentral:rRNA from 1 species
ACUGGCAGGCUAGAGUCUUGUAGAGGGGGGUAGAAUUCCAGGUGUAGCGGUGAAAUGCGUAGAGAUCUGGAGGAAUACCGGUGGCGAAGGCGGCCCCCUGGACAAAGACUGACGCUCAGGUGCGAAAGCGUGGGGAGCAAACAGGAUUAGAUACCCUGGUAGUCCACGCCGUAAACGAUGUCGAUUUGGAGGUUGUGCCCUUGAGGCGUGGCUUCCGGAGCUAACGCGUUAAAUCGAC